UGUUGCAUUUGCCCUCCUCCACUGGAAGCUGUACAGACGGUGGCUGCUACCCUUGGGAAUGCUGCCUGCGUCCAGGCACCGGGCCAGAGGAGCUAGAAAGUGCACUGCUACUUUUACCCCAGUUCAUCCUCACAUGAGUCCCAGCAGGCACCUUUACCAGGUUGGUACUGAGGUGAGGAAGAGAAGGGAAAUCUCCAGGCAAGGCAGGUGCUCCAGGGCAGCCGGACCCUGAGGCUGCAGGGAGCAGGCCACCCGCUCAGGUCACCUCAGCAGGCCUGUUGGGCAGCUGGCAGUGUUUCUCAUGCUCAGGGUCCAGCCCACAGGUGGGUAUCCUCUCUAGUCCCUGCCACGUGCCCUGGGACUGAGCCCCUCUCCCACUGCAUUGUCCAUAGGGAGCACUGUGUUAACCAGUCACCUCCUGGCACCAGGCUGCCUCGUCCUUAGGUCCCAUGCACGCGGCAGCCUCUGCUUCAGCCAGUGUGAUGGAGCCGGGUGACGACACAACAGGCAGCUUCCUCGGAACAAAAGGCCACAGGCAUGAUGGAUGCUUAAGAGAUUCAUGAUCUGAUGAGGACUCCUUCUUACCAUCACUUGCCUAUCUUAAACACGAAAGAGGUCUAACAUAAAGUCCCUAUUUAUAAUGAGGCUUGUGGGUCACGCCAAGCAGAAGCUCCAAGCUCCCUUUCACACGUCUACCUCUACUUCCUUAUGCACACCCAUGUCCAAAUUGAGGCAGACUACUGGCCGUUUCCAUCCUUUACUUCCAUUCCCUCUGCCAAACUCCUGCCUGGAGACCAGCCAUGCCCAGUAGAACUUUCUAUAGCGAUGGAAAUAUUUUCUCCCUGUGCUGUGCAAUAUGGUAGCCAAUGGCCACAUGUGGCCACUGAGCCCUAGAAAUGUGGCUGGUGUGACUGAAGAAUUGAAUUCUUAAUUUAAUCUCAAUUAACUUAAAUUUAAAUAGCCACAUGUGGCUGGUGGCUACCGUCUUACACAGUUCUAGACCAUCCACGAAAUAGUCUCUGCCCUUCUGUUCUCCACACUGAAGAGACCUCUCCCUCUUCCAGCAUUUCACUCCCACCCCUUUUCUAGCAUUUUCCAGAGUCUGGCUAGCAACCCCCCACAGGUCAAAUAGUCAUAUAGCAAACACAAUUAUAGGUUGGUCAGUUAACCAUCCUGGGCCUCAGCUUCCUCAUCUUUAAAAUGGGGAUAAUAAAACCUGCCAGAGUUGAUAUGAGCAUUAAAUGAGCUCCUUUGGGCAAUUUAUAACAGCCUGGUACUGCUUAGUAAACACUCAACAAAAGGUAGGCAUUAAACCCCACUCAGGUUUGCUGGGAGGAUUACAUGGGAUGCCUGAGAAACUCUUAGCGCCGUGUAGCCCUUGCUGGUGAUUCUGUCCCUGCAGGGAGCUGUCAGCAGGAGAUGAGCACGAGAGAGAGACAGCUUAGACAACAGACCCUGUGCUGACGGGCAAGGGGGUUCAGACCCAGACCAAGUAACUCAAAAGAAAACGGGCUAAAUGCCGUCAGGGAGGUUAAGUUUGUGAGGAAGGAUGCUUGGAGGAGGGAGAAGAUCAGGCCUGCCCUGUGAGGAGUAGAUGGGGCCUGUGUGUGGAGCCUGUAGGAGGCGGGAGGUGAUACUGGAGCUUCCAGCAGAGGGAACACAGCAAGGGGCAAGGGAAGGCAUGGAGUGGAAGAGCAGUGGGAAUAUUUGGGAAUAGGUGAGUUGGCCAUUGUAGGCAAACCCCACAUGCGUGUGAAGGAGUGUGGUGAGAACAGAGCUGGCAGGGAGGCGCGGGCAUGUGGUUCCGGGCUGAGGAAACCAACAUUAUGGGUGGGCAGUGGGGAGCCCGAGAGUAUUACUGAGGAGAGAAGAUCCCCAGGCAGAACCACACUCCAGGAGAUGAGCAGCAGAAGGGACGCAGAGGCCAUGCAGAAGGUGGCUGUGCUGGUCCUAGCAAGGCAAUGGGGAUGAGAAUGAGAGCCCAGCCAGCAGAGAUGGGAGGGAAAAGGGGGGUGCAGAGGGCAGGGGUGUCCCAGGGAGCCUCCGAGGAUCAAGGCUGCAUGAUGAUGGGGGAGCAGGCCACCUCCGGCCACAGGGCCCGUUCCGACAGGACUCUCCCUUGCUGGCUCGGGAGGGAGGUGGCUGCCUUGGACUCCUCAGAGUGCUGACAACAUGCUCAAAAUGAGCGGUAAUUCCGUCUGUCCAAACACUUCCACACAGGAAACCACAGAUCAGAGCAAAAUGCACCAGGCCUCCCCCCAGCUUCAGGCCAUCCGCUGUGCCCCCUCUCCUGCUCUCCGAGCCAGUUCUGGAGAACAGUCCCCAGAGCAGACCUCUCUCCCCUGCCCUCUGGCUGCCUGUGCUUCCAGGGAGCAGAAAGCCUGCCAAGCUGAACCACCCCCUUCAGACAGGCAACACUGUGGGGGCUGUGGUGUGACCACCUCCCCACUGUCCCCCUCUCUCCUCCAGCUACCCUGUCUUCAGGUCAAAGGCACAAUCACUGUGACCUUUGUCCCCAGCGGUUUAGUGAGGUCCUUUCAGAAGGCAGGCAUGGGUAGGACCUUCUCUGAAGCCUGUAUUCUCCUUUGCUCUCUCACUUUUAAGUUAUCUGAGUGCCAGGUAAAAAUACAGAUCUCCCUUCAGAAGGUUCUCUACCCCUGGGUAGAGAAAUAUAAAAUAAAAAUAACCCUGUAAAAAUAACUUAUUAAAAAUAACCCUGUAAGGCUGGAACCCAGCCCCUCCCUGCAUUCCCCUCACCUGGCCUGCAGAGUCACCCUGAAGCCUCCUGCUGGGGCAAAAGCCGCCUGGUGGUGAGACAAAGAGGGCCUUUCAGUCCCCACUAAGCAGCUGUCUCCUGCCCUGGGUCUGGAUGCCUUUGGAGGAAGCAAGGAGAAUGUGAACAUGAAAUAGACACAAACAAAAGGUUUGUCCUAAACAAAGCUGCCUCUCACACACCUGCCAACAGGGAUGGGCCACUCAGAUAAAUC